AUGCAUUGGUUUGCAUGGUGGAAAGUGUGUGUACCGAAGAAGAAAGGGGACUUGGGAUUUAGAGACCUUCAUAGUUCCAACCUUGGUAUGUUAGCAAAACAGUAUUGGCGACUAAUCCAGAACCCGGAUUCUCUAUGUGCACGUGUUUUGAGCGCAAAAUAUUAUCCGGACGGAAACAUCUUGCAAGCUGGACUGAAGAAUGGGUCGUCAUUUUCUUGGCAAAGCAUAGUUGCAGGUAUUCAAACUUUUCAGAGGGGGUGCAUUUGGCGUGUAGGUACAGGAGCACAUAUUGAUAUAUGGCGGGAUCCCUGUAUUCUUUCGAGUCCUUCAAGAAAGGUAAUCGCACCUAUAGGUAUUGAUCCACACACUUGGGACGAAGUGCUAAUCAAUGAUGGAGGAUUUUAUUGCUUGGAAUUAUACGUGAUCGGAAACCUUUUCGGUUAG
rnacentral:rRNA from 1 species